rnacentral:rRNA from 1 species
AUUGAACGCUGGCGGCAUGCCUUACACAUGCAAGUCGAACGGUAACGCGGGGCAACCUGGCGACGAGUGGCGAACGGGUGAGUAAUACAUCGGAACGUGCCCAGUAGUGGGGGAUAGCCCGGCGAAAGCCGGAUUAAUACCGCAUACGACCUACGGGUGAAAGCGGGGGAUCGCAAGACCUCGCGCUAUUGGAGCGGCCGAUGUCAGAUUAGGUAGUUGGUGGGGUAAAGGCCUACCAAGCCUACGAUCUGUAGCUGGUCUGAGAGGACGACCAGCCACACUGGGACUGAGACACGGCCCAGACUCCUACGGGAGGCAGCAGUGGGGAACUUUGGACAAUGGGCGCAAGCCUGAUCCAGCCAUGCCGCGUGCGGGAAGAAGGCCUUCGGGUUGUAAACCGCUUUUGUCAGGGAAGAAAUCUUCUGGGCUAAUACCCCGGGAGGAUGACGGUACCUGAAGAAUAAGCACCGGCUAACUACGUGCCAGCAGCCGCCGUAAUAC